ACUCGCUGGAGGGCAGGAGAGCAGCGAGCGAAGCUAUCUGAGAGGACCGGAGGCCGGGGGGUGUGGCCAGCAGGUGUGUCCUCCAGUUGAAGGUCGUUGGGGUCAAUCGGGAGGAGCUUCAGGAGGAGCAGAAAGAAAAGAGGAGAUCAUGCUAGAUUUUAUUAUAGUACCAAAAAGAAAGUUGGGAAAUUUGAAUGUUCCUUUCCUUUGUUGAUGUUCUGCUGUUGGACUCCAUUCACCUGCUUCUUCACUCCCAGCGUCUGUUUGGAGAAUUCUCAGGUUUACAUCCAUGAAUCCCCUCAGUCCCGUGGAACCAUCUACCUGGAUUUCCCAAGGCUCCCUCACCUGCCUGUCCACCCUCCCACAUUCACCGCUCUGAAUGUUGGAGCGCUGAAUGUUUCACAGCUCUGCAACUACAAGCAGGAAACAGGACACCAUAAAACUAACCGCCCGCCUCCCCCGCCCCCAUCUUCAGCUACUGUGAUUAUACUCACCUCUUCACCGUCUUCUCCUCUGCCAGUAACAAACUUUCUUUCACUUCAUUAUAAAACCUCAACCUCAAUCAUCAGAUGGCCAUCCAGGAACACAACCAUUAACCUGGAAGAAUCUUCUCACUGUACACAUUUACUACUAAACCUUCCAAACCAUCUCUGGGUGUCUGUGACUGCAA